UGGGGAAUAUUGCACAAUGGAGGGGACUCUGAUGCAGCGACGCCGCGUGAACGAAGAAGGCUUUCGAGUCGUAAAGUUCUUUUAUAUGGGAAGAUAAUGACGGUACCAUAAGAAAAAGCCCCGGCUAACUACGUGCCAGCAGCCGCGGUAAUACGUAGGGGGCUAGCGUUGUCCGGAAUCACUGGGCGUAAAGGGUUCGCAGGCGGAAAUGCAAGUCAGGUGUAAAAGGCAGUAGCUUAACUACUGUAAGCAUUUGAAACUGCAUAUCUUGAGAAGAGUAGAGGUAAGUGGAAUUUUUAGUGUAGCGGUGAAAUGCGUAGAUAUUAAAAAGAAUACCGGUGGCGAAGGCGGCUUACUGGGCUCAUUCUGACGCUGAGGAACGAAAGCGUGGGUAGCAAACAGG
rnacentral:rRNA from 1 species